GACGAAGGGGGCUAGCGUUGUUCGGAAUUACUGGGCGUAAAGCGCGUGUAGGCGGUUAUCCAAGUCGGGGGUGAAAGCCUUGAGCUCAACUCAAGAAAUGCACUCGGUACUGGGUGACUAGAGGACCGGAGAGGAUAGUGGAAUUCCCAGUGUAGUGGUGAAAUACGUAGAGAUUGGGAAGAACACCAGUGGCGAAGGCGGCUCACUGGACCGGCAUUGACGCUGAGGUGCGAAAGCGUGGGGAGCAAACAGG
rnacentral:rRNA from 1 species